CCCUUAGAUGUUCUGGGCCGCACACGCGCUACAAUGGCAAAGUCAACGAGCUUAUCCUAUGCUGACAAGCACAGGUAAUCUUUUCAGUCUUUGUCGUGAUGGGGAUAGGCCCUUGUAAUUAUUGGUCUCCAACGAGGAAUUCCUAGUAAACGCAAGUCAUCAACUUGCAUUGAUUACGUCCCUGCCCUUUGUACACACCGCCCGUCGCACCUACCGAUUGAAUGGUCCGGUGAAGUCUUCGGACCGAUGCUGACUCGUUGGCAACGGAAAGUUGAGUAAACCUUACCAUUUAGAGGAAGGUGAAGUCGUAACA
rnacentral:rRNA from 1 species